rnacentral:rRNA from 1 species
UACAGAGGGGGCAAGCGUUGUUCGGAAUUACUGGGCGUAAGGGCGCGUAGGCGGCCCUCUAAGUCAGACGUGAAAUCCCUCGGCUCAACCGGGGAACUGCGUCUGAGACUGGAAGGCUUGAAUUCGGGAGAGGGAUGUGGAAUUCCAGGUGUAGCGGUGAAAUGCGUAGAUAUCUGGAGGAACACCGGUGGCGAAGGCGGCAUCCUGGACCGAUAUUGACGCUGAUGCGCGAAAGCUAGGGGAGCGAAUGGG